UUAAACGACCCGUCUUGUAACACGGACCAAGGAGUCUAACAUCUAUGCGAGUGUUCGGGUGUCAAACCCCUACGCGUAAUGAAAGUGAACGGAGGUGGGAACCCGCAAGGGUGCACCAUCGACCGAUCCUGAUGUCUUCGGAUGGAUUUGAGUAAGAGCAUAGCUGUUGGGACCCGAAAGAUGGUGAACUAUGCCUGAAUAGGGCGAAGCCAGAGGAAACUCUGGUGGAGGCUCGUAGCGGUUCUGACGUGCAAAUCGAUCGUCAAAUUUGGGUAUAGGGGCGAAAGACUAAUCGAACCAUCUAGUAGCUGGUUCC
rnacentral:rRNA from 1 species